UGGGGAAUAUUGGGCAAUGGAGGAAACUCUGACCCAGCGACGCCGCGUGAAGGAUGAAGGUUCUAUGGAUUGUAAACUUCUUUUAUUUGGGAAUAAACCUCGAGACGUGUCUCGAGCUGAAGGUACCAAAUGAAUAAGCACCGGCUAACUCCGUGCCAGCAGCCGCGGUAAUACGGAGGGUGCAAGCGUUAUCCGGAAUCAUUGGGUUUAAAGGGUCCGCAGGCGGAUUUAUAAGUCAGUGGUGAAAUCCUACAGCUCAACUGUAGAACUGCCAUUGAUACUGUAAGUCUUGAAUUCGGUCGAAGUGGGCGGAAUAUGACAUGUAGCGGUGAAAUGCUUAGAUAUGUCAUAGAACACCGAUAGCGAAGGCAGCUCACUAGGCCUGGAUUGACGCUCAGGGACGAAAGCGUGGGGAGCAAACAGG
rnacentral:rRNA from 1 species